UGGAAGGACCUGUGUGAUUUACGGCGAGUGUUUUUUUUUUUCUGUUUUUAAAUGUGCUCGUGAUUCUUGUGACUUGCGUUGGGGAUAUUUGUUGCCGAGAGUCCUAAAACCAGGGUAUCGUGCGAACCCAAGAUGCAAAGAUAACAUUCUCUACCGUCUAUUGAGAGGGUGAGAGGACUCGAACGAUACCGCUACCAUCGUUCUGCAGCUGAAAAUAAACUCGUGUCAUCCCUUUGCAUUGCAUUGCAUUGGACUCAAAUACGCCCAGGACACCACCAUAGACGACCGCACUUGACCUUCCGCCAGUUCGGACGACGUCUCCGAACCGCUGCCGUAGGGGUCUGCUUGCGGCAACUCCUCGUUACCUCAAGCGGCAUAGGCUGACAAACCACCUGCGUUCCCGCCGCCAGGCCUGCGAGGGUGACGGUAGCCCACACCAAUAACAUUAAGUGGUUGUUGGUUGGCGGUUGGCCUCCGCGGGGGACAGACGUGCCUGCCUCAGCUGCUUACCCUCUCCCCAGUCUACCUUUAGCUAAGUACAAAU